CUACGGGCGCUCCAGUGGGGAAUCUUGGACAAUGGGCGCAAGCCUGAUCCAGCCAUGCCGCGUGAGUGAAGAAGGCCUUAGGGUCGUAAAGCUCUUUCGCCAGAGAUGAUAAUGACAGUAUCUGGUAAAGAAACCCCGGCUAACUCCGUGCCAGCAGCCGCGGUAAUACGGAGGGGGUUAGCGUUGUUCGGAAUUACUGGGCGUAAAGCGCGCGUAGGCGGAUUAGUCAGUCAGAGGUGAAAUCCCAGGGCUCAACCCUGGAACUGCCUUUGAUACUGCUAGUCUUGAGUUCGAGAGAGGUGAGUGGAAUUCCGAGUGUAGAGGUGAAAUUCGUAGAUAUUCGGAGGAACACCAGUGGCGAAGGCGGCUCACUGGCUCGAUACUGACGCUGAGGUGCGAAAGUGUGGGGAGCAAACAGGAUUAGAUACCCCGGUAGUC
rnacentral:rRNA from 1 species